rnacentral:lncRNA from 1 species
AAUUUCAUAUUCACAAAUGUACAUUUACAAACAGAAAACCACAUUUUCGUACCCUACAAAAAUAAAUUGAACUGUAUUUUAAGACGGUUAAAUGCUCUACUAACAAAAAAGCUGUUCGAAUUGUAAGUAUAUGUAUGUCCCUUAAGGUCCUUGUGUAAUUGUAAUGUGAUAUUGUACCCCCUAGCUCGAUUGUCCAUUGUUUGUAAUCUAUGUAUGCUUGUGUUCCCUUAUGUGCUUUAUGUAUUGUUUUGUUGUUAAUUUUAAAAAAAAGAUACGAACCCUCUGUUACCUGCCAGAUAAGGAACUGGCAGUGGAUCAAACCAUUGUGAGGCAAAGGGCGGGGGGUCGCAAUCUUUUGAAAUCUUUUAAUCUUUUAAAAACACGCUAUUAAGUGUCUAUAAUCAGCGCAAGUGCUUUCAUUGCGUAUUAUUAAUAUUAUUUAAAUUACAUAGUUAUGUUUACAGUGAUAUAUUGGGGGAGACAAAUCAUAUUUUUCCCAGGAUGGGGGGGUCGUGUCCCCCCCCCCACCGCCCCUGGGAUUUCCGCCUAUGCCUGAAGAGUCAUCCCAGCUCAGGCACGCUGGAACAUACCCAAUGGCUCCAGAGAGGUACAGCCCGCGGUGGCAGUAAGGAUAAGCAAGUGGGGAUUCGGAGGAGUACUCUGAUAUGAGCUACAUCAUGGAUCCAUUGUCCAGAGACUGUAGCAAAGGCUCAUUGAAGGGUAGCAGUGCUCCCUUCUCCCCAGACACAGAUGGGGACGUUGACCCUGUGCAGCCCAGUGUGGACCUGGAACUCGCUCGUAAGGAGGUCAUAGAGGAGUAGUUCGCUAGCAAGGAAGCUGUUCUUGCUACACGAGAGCUUGAACACGGAGCUAAGGACAUGCCUAAAAAACAGACUGCAUCCACAACAGUGAAGGGCAUGUCUAAACAGACCAAAUAUGGACAAUACAAUAUUCAAAACAUACAACAAUGUCGCCGACAGGUCGUCACGCGUAUGCCUACCUCUUAAACGGAGGGUGCUGGACAUUCUAAGUAAGUUCAGAAGAACACCGGUACGGUACCUACUGCAUAAGGAUACCCCUGCCGAGCUGAAGAAUCAAAACAAGAUGCGAGCAUUGGAUCUGAUGAUUAGAGCUCCCCUAGAAAAUGAAGAGGGUUUUAAUGAACCAGCGACGCUAUCCCGACAAUGAGGUAUGUAGCCAUAACAAAACAUAGAGGUCGGCAAAAGUAUCAUAAGAAGGAAGUCAAGAAAACCAUGGCCCCCCGAUUUAUACAAUCGAUUUCUGC